GGCGUGCCUAAUACAUGCAAGUCGAACGCACUCUCGUUUAGAUUGAAGGAGCUUGCUCCUGAUUGAUAAACAUUUGAGUGAGUGGCGGACGGGUGAGUAACACGUGGGUAACCUGCCCUAAAGUGGGGGAUAACAUUUGGAAACAGAUGCUAAUACCGCAUAAAACCUAACACCGCAUGGUGUAGGGUUGAAAGAUGGUUUCGGCUAUCACUUUAGGAUGGACCCGCGGUGCAUUAGUUAGUUGGUGAGGUAAAGGCUCACCAAGACCGUGAUGCAUAGCCGACCUGAGAGGGUAAUCGGCCACACUGGGACUGAGACACGGCCCAGACUCCUACGGGAGGCAGCAGUAGGGAAUCUUCCACAAUGGACGAAAGUCUGAUGGAGCAACGCCGCGUGAGUGAAGAAGGUUUUCGGAUCGUAAAACUCUGUUGUUGGAGAAGAAUGUAUCUGAUAGUAACUGAUCAGGUAGUGACGGUAUCCAACCAGAAAGCCACGGCUAACUACGUGCCAGCAGCCGCGGUAAUACGUAGGUGGCAAGCGUUGUCCGGAUUUAUUGGGCGUAAAGCGAGCGCAGGCGGUUUCUUAAGUCUGAUGUGAAAGCCUUCGGCUCAACCGAAGAAGUGCAUCGGAAACUGGGAAACUUGAGUGCAGAAGAGGACAGUGGAACUCCAUGUGUAGCGGUGAAAUGCGUAGAUAUAUGGAAGAACACCAGUGGCGAAGGCGGCUGUCUGGUCUGUAACUGACGCUGAGGCUCGAAAGCAUGGGUAGCAAACAGGAUUAGAUACCCUGGUAGUCCAUGCCGUAAACGAUGAGUGCUAGGUGUUGGAGGGUUUCCGCCCUUCAGUGCCGCAGCUAACGCAUUAAGCACUCCGCCUGGGGAGUACGACCGCAAGGUUGAAACUCAAAGGAAUUGACGGGGGCCCGCACAAGCGGUGGAGCAUGUGGUUUAAUUCGAAGCAACGCGAAGAACCUUACCAGGUCUUGACAUCCUUUGACCACUCUAGAGAUAGAGCUUUCCCUUCGGGGACAAAGUGACAGGUGGUGCAUGGUUGUCGUCAGCUCGUGUCGUGAGAUGUUGGGUUAAGUCCCGCAACGAGCGCAACCCUUAUUACUAGUUGCCAGCAUUUAGUUGGGCACUCUAGUGAGACUGCCGGUGACAAACCGGAGGAAGGUGGGGACGACGUCAAAUCAUCAUGCCCCUUAUGACCUGGGCUACACACGUGCUACAAUGGAUGGUACAACGAGUUGCGAGACCGCGAGGUUUAGCUAAUCUCUUAAAACCAUUCUCAGUUCGGAUUGUAGGCUGCAACUCGCCUACAUGAAGCCGGAAUCGCUAGUAAUCGCGGAUCAGCAUGCCGCGGUGAAUACGUU
rnacentral:rRNA from 1 species